GACGAACGCUGGCGGCGUGCCUAAUACAUGCAAGUUGAGCGAUGAAGAUUGGUGCUUGCACCAAUUUGAAGAGCAGCGCACGGGUGAGUAACGCGUGGGGAAUCUGCCUUUGAGCGGGGGACAACAUUUGGAAACGAAUGCUAAUACCGCAUAACAACUUUAAACAUAAGUUUUAAGUUUGAAAGAUGCAAUUGCAUCACUCAAAGAUGAUCCCGCGUUGUAUUAGCUAGUUGGUGAGGUAAAGGCUCACCAAGGCGAUGAUACAUAGCCGACCUGAGAGGGUGAUCGGCCACAUUGGGACUGGGACACGGCCCAAACUCCUUCGGGAGGCAGCAGUAGGGAAUCUUCGGCAAUGGACGAAAGUCUGACCGAGCAACGCCGCGUGAGUGAAGAAGGUUUUCGGAUCGUAAAACUCUGUUGGUAGAGAAGAACGUUGGUGAGAGUGGAAAGCUCAUCAAGUGACGGUAACUACCCAGAAAGGGACGGCUAACUACGUG
rnacentral:rRNA from 1 species